rnacentral:rRNA from 1 species
GCAUUGAGGCAGUCAAAGUAGGCAAAUCCGCUUUGAUAAUGCUGGGAUGUGAUGGGGAGCGAAAUUUAGUAGCGAAGUAGCUGAUUUCACACUGUCAAGAAAAGUCUCUAUCGAGGUUAAAGGUACCCGUACCGCAAACCGACACAGGUGGGUGAGGAGAGUAUCCUAAGGCCAGCGAGAGAACUGUUGUUAAGGAACUCGGCAAAAUGACCCCGUAACUUAGGGAUAAGGGGUGCCACCAUCAGGUGGCCGCAGAGAAUAGGCCCAAGCGACUGUUUACCAAAAACAUAGGUUUCUGCUAAGUCGCAAGACGAUGUAUAGGAGCUGACGCCUGCCCGGUGCUGGAAGGUUAAGGGGAUCUGUUAGAGCAAUCGAAGCAGUGAACUUAAGCCCCAGUAAACGGCGGCCGUAACUAUAACGGUCCUAAGGUAGCGAAAUUCCUUGUCGGGUAAGUUCCGACCCGCACGAAAGGCGUAACGAUUUGGGCACUGUCUCAACAACAGACUCGGUGAAAUUGUAAUUCCGGUGAAGAUGCCGGAUACCUGCGACAGGACGGAAAGACCCCAUGGAGCUUUACUGUAGCUUGACAUUGGGUCUUGGUACUACAUGUACAGGAUAGGUGGGAGGCUUUGAAACCAGGACGCCAGUUUUGGCGGAGCCAUCCUUGGGAUACCACCCUUGUAGUACUGGGACUCUAACCAUAGGCCAUGAAUCUGGUCUUGGGACACUGUCAGGUGGGCAGUUUGACUGGGGCGGUCGCCUCCCAAAAGGUAACGGAGGCGCUCAAAGGUUCUCUCAGUACGGUCGGAAAUCGUACGUAGAGUGUAAAGGCAAAAGAGAGCUUGAUUGCAAGACAUACAGGUCGAGCAAGGAUGAAAAUCGGACUUAGUGAUCCGGUGGUUCUGCGUGGAAGGGCCAUCGCUCAACGGAUAAAAGCUACCCUGGGGAUAACAGGCUUAUCUCCCCCAAGAGUCCACAUCGACGGGGAGGUUUGGCACCUCGAUGUCGGCUCAUCACAUCCUGGGGCUGUAGUAGGUCCCAAGGGUUGGGCUGUUCGCCCAUUAAAGUGGUACGCGAGCUGGGUUCAGAACGUCGUGAGACAGUUCGGUCCCUAUCCGUCGCAGGCGUAGGAAAUUUGAGAAGACCUGUCCUUAGUACGAGAGGACCGGGAUGGACGUACCUCUGGUGUACCAGUUGUCCUGCCAAGGGCAUGGCUGGGUAGCUAUGUACGGAAUGGAUAAGCGCUGAAAGCAUCUAAGCGCGAAGCCAACUUCAAGAUAAGAUUUCCCACCGCAAGGGUAAGACCCCAGAAAGACUAUCUGGUUGAUAGGUCGAAGGUGUAAGUGCAGCAAUGUAUUUAGCUUAUCGAUACUAAUAGGUCGAGGACUUGACC